GCUUAGCCCUUAACAUAGACAAUACAAACACAAUAUUGUCCGCCAGAGAACUACAAGUGAAAAACUAGAAACUCCAAGGACUUGGCGGUGCCCCAUAUCAACCUAGAGGAGCCUGUCCUAUAAUCGAUAAUCCACGCUGUACCUUACCAUUUCUUGCAACUCAGCCUAUAUACCGCCGUCGAAAGCCUACCUUAUGAAAGAAACAAAGUAAGCAAAAUAGUCAACAACAAAAACGUCAGGUCAAGGUGUAGCAUAUGAAAUGGAAGAGAUGGGCUACAUUUUCUACCUCAGAAAACACGAACAGCACAAUGAAAUCUGUACUCAAAGGAGGAUUUAGCAGUAAGGCAAAAAAGAAACUUUACCUUAAACCCGCUCUGGAG
rnacentral:rRNA from 1 species